rnacentral:tRNA from 1 species
AAGGCUUUAGCUUAAUUAAAGCAUCUGAGUUGCAAUCAGAAGAUGCGGGUUAGCGACCUGUGAGUCUUA